GUGGCACUCGGUCACCCUAUUCCUGGGUUUCCCUUAGAAAUUUGUUUUUCUUUCCUCUAGUUAGUUUCCGUAGUUUUAUUCAUCCUAUUAAGGCCAUUAUACUUUUUGCCAUAUUCUCCCUACCAUCUACGCUAUUGUUUAUUUUUCUCAUUAAUCGUUUGUUUUCUCUCCAUUUGGGGUCACAAAAUCAAAAUUUUAUGCAAAAGAGUAUAAAAAUCUUCCUUUUUCCCCCUAGCCACCCAGAAAGAGUCCCUGGAGGCAGCUAGUAUCAGUUUUUUGUACUUCCUGUUAGGUCGAAAGGGGGUCCAGGAGCUGAUGCAUGCCUCUGCCAGGCAGAUGGUGAUGUAGAUACUGGGCCCUUCCUAGAAUCGUAACAGGCCAGUGCACCAGGCAGAUGAGGACACCUGUAAACCGUGAGGACCCCCGCAGCGGGAACUCCCACAGCUCAUGCUCCCCACCCUCACUGAACAGCUGUAUAAAAAAAGCGCCCCCCUCCCUGUUGGUGCGGUUCCACAUGCCCUGUCUUUGGAAUCCGUGGGCAGCCCAGGGACCCAGAAUAAAGCCUUUCCUUUCUUUCUUUUCUGAUUAA